rnacentral:rRNA from 1 species
GUUGAACGCUGGCGGCAUGCCUUACACAUGCAAGUCGAACGGCAGCGGACCUUCGGGUGCCGGCGAGUGGCGAACGGGUGAGUAAUAUAUCGGAACGUACCUUUCAGUGGGGGAUAACGUAGCGAAAGUUACGCUAAUACCGCAUAUUCUGUGAGCAGGAAAGCAGGGGAUCGCAAGACCUUGCGCUGAUUGAGCGGCCGAUAUCAGAUUAGCUAGUUGGUGAGGUAAAGGCUCACCAAGGCGACGAUCUGUAGCGGGUCUGAGAGGAUGAUCCGCCACGCUGGAACUGAGACACGGUCCAGACUCCUACGGGAGGCAGCAGUGGGGAAUUUUGGACAAUGGGCGCAAGCCUGAUCCAGCCAUGCCGCGUGAGUGAAGAAGGCCUCGGUUGUAAGAC